rnacentral:rRNA from 1 species
UACAGAGGUCUCAAGCGUUGUUCGGAUUCAUUGGGCGUAAAGGGUGCGUAGGCGGCGCGGUAAGUCGGGUGUGAAAUCUCGGGGCUUAACUCCGAAACUGCAUUCGAUACUGCCGUGCUUGAGGACUGGAGAGGAGACUGGAAUUUACGGUGUAGCGGUGAAAUGCGUAGAUAUCCGGAGGAACACCGGUGGCGAAGGCGGGUCUCUGGACAGUUCCUGACGCUGAGGCACGAAGGUCAGGGGAGCAAACGGG